rnacentral:rRNA from 1 species
AUUGAACGCUGGCGGCAUGCUUUACACAUGCAAGUCGAACGGCAGCGCGGGCUUCGGCCUGGCGGCGAGUGGCGAACGGGUGAGUAAUGCAUCGGAACGUGCCCAGUAGUGGGGGAUAGCCCGGCGAAAGCCGGAUUAAUACCGCAUACGACCUGAGGGUGAAAGCGGGGGACCGAAAGGCCUCGCGCUAUUGGAGCGGCCGAUGUCGGAUUAGCUAGUUGGUGGGGUAAAGGCUUACCAAGGCGACGAUCCGUAGCUGGUCUGAGAGGACGACCAGCCACACUGGGACUGAGACACGGCCCAGACUCCUACGGGAGGCAGCAGUGGGGAAUUUUGGACAAUGGGGGCAAGCCUGAUCCAGCCAUGCCGCGUGCGGGAAGAAGGCCUUCGGGUUGUAAACCGCUUUUGUUCGGGAAGAAAUCCUCUGGGCUAAUACCCCGGGGGGAUGGCGGUACCGGAAGAAUAAGCACCGGCUAACUACGUG